rfam:Ananas comosus cultivar MD2 ACMD2_Scaffold_1543, whole genome shotgun sequence.
GGAAACAGAUUAAAUUCGAAAAAUUUCUCUUUGCCAAGGAGAAGAUGCGGGUUCGAUUCCCGCUAUCCG